UAGGGAAUUUUCGUCAAUGGGGGGAACCCUGAACGAGCAAUGCCGCGUGAGUGAAGACGGUCUUCGGAUUGUAAAGCUCUGUUGCGAGAGAAAAAGGACAGGAAGAGGGAAUGCUUCCGGUUUUGAUGGUAUCUCGCCAGAAAGUCACGGCUAACUACGUGCCAGCAGCCGCGGUAAUACGUAGGUGGCGAGCGUUAUCCGGAAUGAUUGGGCGUAAAGGGUACGUAGGCGGCCAGAUAAGUCUGGUGUGAAAGGCUGCAGCUCAACUGCAGCACUGCACUGGAAACUGUCCGGCUGGAGUGCAGAAGAGGGCGAUGGAACUCCAUGUGUAGCGGUAAAAUGCGUAGAUAUAUGGAAGAACACCGGUGGCGAAGGCGGUCGCCUGGUCUGCAACUGA
rnacentral:rRNA from 1 species